UUAAGUUAUGUCACUUAUUGAGCUUUUAUACUUCACUAAGAAACUGUUUUACGCUUCAACGAUAAUAUUCCAAUCCCAGAAAUGGUUAGAUUCAAAGACUAGUGAACCACGACCAAGACAUCAAAGAUUAGCUAAUAGUAAAUUCAAGAUAUGUCACCGAACUUUUUUUUCUCUCCUUUUUUCCGCGAGAACAUAUUAUUUUAGACCAAUUGUUGAAAUUUUUUACUCACCCUUUUCCUUUUAGAUCCCUUUUUAGAGAAGUCUGUAUAAACUUUUUCUUCAAAACAAACAUCCGAUAGCCGAAUGUAGCUUAU